UACGUAGGGUGCGAGCGUUGUCCGGAUUUAUUGGGCGUAAAGAGCUCGUAGGCGGUUUGUCGCGUCGGCCGUGAAAUCUCCACGCUUAACGUGGAGCGUGCGGUCGAUACGGGCAGACUUGAGUUCGGUAGGGGAGACUGGAAUUCCUGGUGUAGCGGUGAAAUGCGCAGAUAUCAGGAGGAACACCCGUAGCGAAGGCGGCACUCUGGGCCGAUACUGACACUGAGGAGCGAAGGCGUGGGGAGCGAACAGG
rnacentral:rRNA from 1 species